rnacentral:rRNA from 1 species
AACGAACGCUGGCGGCAUGCCUAACACAUGCAAGUCGAACGAGACCUUCGGGUCUAGUGGCGCACGGGUGCGUAACGCGUGGGAACCUGCCCUUAGGUUCGGAAUAACUCCCCGAAAGGGGUGCUAAUACCGGAUAAUGUCUUCGGACCAAAGAUUUAUCGCCUUUGGAUGGGCCCGCGUUGGAUUAGCUAGUUGGUAGGGUAAAAGCCUACCAAGGCGACGAUCCAUAGCUGGUCUGAGAGGAUGAUCAGCCACACUGGGACUGAGACACGGCCCAGACUCCUACGGGAGGCAGCAGUGGGGAAUAUUGGACAAUGGGCGAAAGCCAGAUCCAGCAAUGCCGCGUGAGUGAUGAAGGCCUUAGGGUUGUAAAGCUCUUUUACCCGGGAUGAUAAUGACAGUACCGGGAGAAUAAGCGCCGGCUAACUCCGUG